UCCCAGGAGUUUGUAAGAAAAGAUAUAAAAGAGUGGUUAAAUUGGCUUCGAAAUUACAUUGGUUAUGAUGGGUGGCGCCUCGACUUUGUGAGGGGCUUCUCAGGUUCUUAUGUAAAAGAAUAUAUUGAAGCUUCAAAUCCUGCAUUUGCUAUUGGAGAAUAUUGGGAUAGUUUAGGUUAUGAGCAUGGCGACUUGUGUUACAAUCAAGAUGCUCAUAGGCAAAGGAUAGUCAAUUGGAUCAAUGCCACAGGGGGUACUUCAUCAGCAUUUGAUGUCACAACAAAGGGAAUCCUCCACUCUGCUCUGCAUAAUCAAUACUGGAGAUUGAUAGAUCCUCAAGGCAAACCAACUGGAGUUAUGGGAUGGUAGCCUUCGCGUGCUGUCACAUUUCUAGAGAACCAUGAUACAGGAUCAACACAGGGUCACUGGCCAUUUCCACGAGAUAAGCUUGCACAGGGAUAUGCCUAUAUUCUGACCCAUCCUGGAACAGUAAGUUCUUUGCCACUCAAUU